UUGGCUCAGGAGGGAGAAAGCCUAAGCCCGUCAAUGAACAGCAUUGUCGGGGCACAAUCCAGAACUGGGAUUAGUUCCAGAAUGAGCAUAUGCCCCAGUCAGACCAAUGAACGUGAGGAGGGAUUGGAGUACAAUUAGACGUGACAGUCAAGACCAAAGGCAUUUAUUGUGAAAUAAUCAUUCCUCUAUCUGAAUGUGAUUCCAGAGGGAAGUUAAAGCAGUAAAGGACGACGAGUUGAGACUCUAUUUCCAGUGACAAGUUUCUUUAGAGAUGCCUACCUGAGCCGGUAUUGAGGCCCUGGGCCUGCUCCCCAGCAGCGUUUCCUGCCCGUGGAUGCUUCCUCUGCUAACUUAUGUGUUACAAUUGCUUGCUGUUCACUGGAGAGGAUUUUUCACAGCUACUUCACUGAGGUUUCUGUACAGCAGCUACAAGUAAGAAAACAGGUCUGUAUUUAUCUCAAAAACAUAAUUGAAUUAUGUGGAAUGAAAAGAGCUGGAAUUUCAAGUCUAUGGCUUCCCUGUGGAUCAAAAGAAGUCUAAUAAGAAACUCAGAGCCAAGCAAAAGCACUUUGGGCAAGGUUGUACUGUCCCUCUCCUGAAGAAAUGAAUGAUUUUUCUUUAAUGGGAGGGGCGCCUGAGGGCAAGAGAAUGUCUAGGGACUGAAAAAGACUUUGGAAAAUACUUAAAAAAUACUAUCCCCAUCCUCUGUGCUUGGGUGAGCUGUGUUGCCCACUCCUCACUGACCCCAGAGCUCUGUGUCCAGCUCUCAUCUCUCUCUUGCGAGGCAGUCCUAUAAUGUAGGCUGUUAGCUAGUUAUCUUUAUUUGCAUUCAUCAGUUCUUCACAUUUCUGAUCACCUUUUCUCUGCCAGAUUGAUACUGGUGAUGAAAAGAUGAAUAAGAUAUUGUCCUUCGUUAAAAGAUAAAUUGAGGCAUAUUAAAAAUGUUAAGAGCUUAUUUGAGCAAAAAUCAAUUCGAAUCAGGUAGUACCAAACCGGAAGCGGUUAGGAGCUCGGGGAGAGACUAAUAUAGAGAAAAGACAGAAGCAUAGUAAGGAAAUUAUUGAUUGGCUAUAGCUUAAAGCCUAGUUGGUUGCUCGUGACUGAUUGUCCUUAGGGUUAGAUUUCGUAACCUUGAGGCGUUUACAGGCUUACAUUGUGGUUUGUUUAUAUAGGUGCCACAGUAUUAGAGCCACCUCAGUCUAAUGGCCUCCUUGUUUGAUUAAUUUAGUGUCUUGCUCUUAAACCCUUCUGGGAGAGCUGGACAAGUGAAGAGGGAACCUUAGGAUCACAUGCGAAGGCCAUGGAAUGCUGGAGCAGAUGAUGCUCAGACCAAGCCUUGCUGGAGUCAACAGUCAGGCCUUGGCGAGCAGGAGGGGUAAGACGUGAGUAUUAGUGGGUGUAUCUUGGAAUGAAGAGAAAUAAAGGAAAAAGCAUUCCAGGCAUAGUGAUCAAAACCAAGACACUUGAGAGAACAUCUGUUUCUAGGGAGCCACAGGCAGGGCAGUAUGAAUGGUGUGCAGAGAAUAAGCAAGCUGUGAUGAGAGAUGAAGGCACUAGCUUUUUAUUGCUGCCAUAAUAAAUGACCACAAAUGUAGUCUUUUCAAACAACACAAUUUCUUAUCUCCCAGUUCUGUUGGCCAAAAGUCCAGCAUGGCGAGUCUUAGCUGCCUCCUCUGCUUAGAGUUCCACGAGGCUGAUAUUAAGAGUUGGCAGGGAUGACGUCCUUUCUGAAGGCUCUGGGGAAGACUUGGCUUCCAAGCUUAUUCAGGUUAUUGGCCUGAGGUCUCUGAUUCCUUGCUGGCUGUCGGCUGGGGAUCACAUUUAUCUUCUAAAGUCCUCUCUCUGGUUCUUCCACGUGACCCUCCACAACUCAGGACCAGCAGUGGAGCAUCAGAUCCUUCUCGUUUUGGAAUCUCUCUGCCUUCCCCUUCUGCCUUCCUCUUCAGGCUGAGACAGCUUUCUGCUUCGAGUGCUCACGUGAUUAGAUUGUGCCCACCCAGAUGAUACAAAACAAACUCCCCAUUCUCCAGGUCUUUAACCUAAUCACACCUGCAAAGUCCCUUUGCCAUGGGGAUAAGGACAUGGGCAUCUUUGGGAGGCGUUACUCUGCCUACCACAAUGUGGAACAUUGAGAUACUCUCAAGGGAUGUGCGCGAAUACAUGUACACAUGUCAGGAUUCUUUAGUGAAAUUUGGGAAACUCUGAAUGAUGUACUCAUUUCUUAAAGAGUCAAAAAACAUGUUUUUAUGUUAAAGACACAAUAAGGAAACUUGUGUAAUUUUUUCCCAGGGUUUCCCAAGUUUGUUUUACCUUAAAACCUCUUUCUCCUUGAAAAUUCCUUGUUAACUUUCUCAGAACUGGUGGUAUACAGCCCAGGCUUUGGGAAACUGAGUUAGAGGCCCACUCACCAAGAUAUUCCUCAGUCAUGCGUCGAAGUCUAAUAUUGUCUUGCAGACUUGAGGGUCAGUGCAGAACUUUUCGCAGGGAAAUACAUAAUCAAGUGUGUUUUAAUAAGAAUCGUCUGGAUACAAAGGAGAAUGAAUGGUAGGAAAGAUAGAGGUGUGGUGGGAGGGAGAAAGGUUGGAAGCCGGAAGUAGGAUUGUGAGCAAGAAAUGGUGUUAGUCUGAUUCAAGUAGUUAGGUAAGAUGGGAAUAAGUGAAAGUAUUUAAGGAUACUACUGAAGUAGAGGAAACAUAUGCGAAAACCAAUUUAUGAAAUGGAAAGGCUAGGGGAAGUUAAGGAUGAUCUAUCCCAGGUGUCUGAAUGAAUGUGCUUUUGACACAUUCCUUUAAAUGUGCUCAUUGGCGAUGAGGCUUUAGGCUUUGGGGAGUGAAUUUGAGGCCAAGACUGGCCUUCACUCUCCCCAUGUCCCUUACUCUCCGGAGAUUCUUCCUUGACAGGCCAUGCCCUUGCAGUCUGAUCCUCGCCCCACUACUUCCUCUGCCUGGUGCACUCUCUCUUCUCCCCUGGGCCUCAUGUUGGUCUGGCCAACUGA